GGGGUUCGGUACUAGCUCAUCUGGAAUCUCGACCCUGAUAGCAGUCCAUGAAUGGCAGAACCAUAAACGAUAGAGUCCACACGGAAAUCCGGACGUUUUGGGGAAUCAGCAAAACGGGGAUUUCGGGAAAACAAAAACCUACCCCAAGUGAACAUCUUACACAUCCCAUUGUCUACCAGCCCCACCACGGAGUCCAGCACGUUAUCCCUUUGUCCUUAACCCCGUCCCUCCCACACACUCUCUCCAAGGGACGCUCCCUCAAGAGGCUCCGGCCCACCCACGGGGAAGAGUCGCCCUCCGCCCAGUCAAGCUGGGCGCAGGCUCGGCCUUCAAUCACACCCUGCAGGCCACAUGGAGGGGGGGGGGGGCUCCCGCUUCCCGCUCAGUCGGACGGCAGAGGCCUCCAGCACGGCCUAAGAGUCAGGAGGGUAAGGCGAGGGGAAGACAAGGAGUCCACACGGCAGCUCUCAUGCCCGAUGCCCUCCGCCCCUCCCGAAGGGCCCCUUCCUCUACCGCCCGCUCGGGCCCAGACGUCCCCGCCGCGGCGGCGCAAGCUCCUUACCGGCCGGUGUGGGUGGGUGGGGAACGCGGGGUGUGUGUGUGAGCGAGUGUCGCGCCCGCAGAGGAGUCUUGGCCCGGCUCCGGUCCGGGAGGGGAAAGGGUCUGGGGAAGGGUUAAGGGGAAAGGGGGGGGAGGUGGGUGGCGGGCUACCGAGCCAGGAAAUCAGAGGCCGGCGUCAGAGAAACCGACCAAGCGCGGCCGCCGCUUCCAGUAAAGGAGAGCGAGAGAGCGAGAGACGAGCAAGAUGGCGGACAGCCAGCCCGGACGUCCUACGUCAUCUCGCAGACGCACGUAAGGCGAGUCCGUCUCUCUCUCUCUCUCUCUCUCUCUCUCUCUUCCUCUAAUCCCACGCCUCCCUCCGGCGGGACCCUAAGAACGGGCAGAUCACGUGGGGACGCGUUGGGUUGAGCGUGGGGGGAUGGGAGGAGGGCGAGACGCUCUGCCACCUCUUGGGAUGUACUUGCUAUCGCAGUCGAACGGUUACCCAUUUCGGUUCCGAGGCGGCGGCCGUGUGGACUACGACGGGGAGCAUGCUGCUGCACUUCGGCGUCCUUACGGAGAUGCCCGGGGAGGGGGAAAUGCGGCCCACCUCAAGGCUUGCUCUGGCUCGCGCACCUUGCGGAAGCUCUCAGUCUUUGGGAACCGUCCCUAUGGCUGUCCUGCGGAAGAGUCUGUGUGCAUUCCAAGACGUCGGGUUACUGAAACAGCAAUUUGCACCAGGCAUUAUGGCUUUCAUAUACAUUUUUAAAAAACAAACAACCCUUAAAUAGCUGAAAUGCAGAACUAGUAUUAUUUUAUAUUUGUAAAGCACUUUUGCAAACCAUAAAGUAGUAUAUAAAUGCUAUGUAUCAUUAUUACCAAUAAUACAGUGUAAACGCACCCGCUGCAGCCCUUUCAUACGGAAUUGUAUUUAGAAUCCACAGGUAACAAUAAGCCUUUAAAAUGUUAAGAGAAAAGUAAAGGCUAGCAAAACUGGAAAGUGGCUGGAUUCUGAGGAUGGAUAUUCAAAUCCCACUUUAUCAUUACUACUCCAGGAACUUAAUCUCCCCGGCCUCAGUUUCCUCAUUUAUAAAUUUCGGGGAUUGGACUAUAAGGCCCCCGAAGACCCGUAUAGUUUGAGAUCUUUGAUCCCAAGACCCAUUCUGCCUUCAAUAAAACAUUCAAAUUUAGGAAGGCCCA
ensembl:lncRNA